rnacentral:rRNA from 1 species
UACGUAGGUGGCAAGCGUUGUCCGGAUUUAUUGGGUUUAAAGGGCGCGUAGGCGGCCUUGUAAGUCAGUGGUGAAAUACUCCAGCUUAACUGGAGGGGUGCCAAUGAUACUGCAGGGCUUGAGUACAGAUGAGGUAGGCGGAAUUGACGGUGUAGCGGUGAAAUGCAUAGAUAUCGUCAAGAACACCGAUAGCGAAGGCAGCUUACUGGGCUGUAACUGACGCUGAGGCACGAAAGUGUGGGGAUCAAACAGG